rnacentral:rRNA from 1 species
AGCCUGAACGCUGGCGGCGUGGCUAAGACAUGCAAGUCGCACGGGGUAGCAAUAUCCAGUGGCGAACGGGUGAGUAAUGAAUCGCUAAUGUACCCCGGACUCUGAGAUAGCCGGCCGAAAAGGCCGGGUAAUAUCAGAUGAUAUGACCGAUCCGCCUGGAUUGGUCCUCAAAGGUCCGCCGGUCUGGGAGCAGGCGAUUUCGUAUCAGCUAGUUGGUGAGGUAACGGCUCACCAAGGCAACGACGCGUAGCCGGACUGAGAGGUUGGCCGGCCACAUUGGGACUGAGACACUGCCCAGACUCCUACGGGGGCUGCAGUAACGAAUCUUCCGCAAUGCACGAAAGUGUGACGGAGCGACGCCGCGUGUAGGACGAAGCCCUUCGGGGUGUAAACUACUGUCAGGGGUUAGAAAGUUCUGAUCAACCCCAGAGGAAGGCACGGCUAACUCUGUGCCAGCAGCCGCGGUAA